UUUGGGAUUUUUUAUUUUUUUUAAUGAAUAAAACACAACUUUUUCUUUUCUUGUUCGUGGCUUUUGAAAAGUAUGAACAGCAAGAACACAAGAACAAACGCAGAAAUAAUACUUGAAACAAAAGACAAUUUUUUAUGGGUUUUCGGUUUAUAAGAUGGAAAAACAAAUGCAAGCAAUAUGAAUGAUUUUUUUUUUGAAUGUAAAUAACAAAAUUAUGAAACAAAUACGGUAUGCACGAAAAUAAAAUGCUAGGCCUUUUUAUUUUUAUGCAAGAGUCAAACAAGAAACAAAUAUGGAAUGCAUAUUUUUUUUUUUUAAAUGAAUGUACAAAAUCUAAAAAUGGCAAGUGGAGCUGGAGAAUGAAUGCAAACACAAUAUGAGAUUUCUUUUUCAAAUUUUCGUGAAUCAAAUGCAAGAAACUUCUUCUCUUUUGUUUUUUUUCUUUUCUUAAGAACAAUAACAAUGCAAAAACUGUUUUUAUGGCUUUUUGGUUUACUGAUGAAACAAAUGCAAGGAAGAUGAAUGGUGCAAGGAUAGAAUGGACCUGACUCAAGAACCUUUCGGCUCAGAUACCAAAUGUUACAGGCUGGAAGCUGGGUCGCCCAAAUGGUUGUUGGAGGUUCAAAUCGGAUCAACCAAAGAUGUGAUCUGUUGGUCGAUAUGUAUAGAAUCUGACUUGAUAACCUGAAACCAAAUGAAGAAUGAAUGAGAUGAGGAUUAUGAUAUGAAUAAAACAAGAAUAAUAAACUGAAAGAAAGGAUAGAAUUGGCGGAAUCAAGCUGAUGGAUGUGUAUCACUCUCAGCUUGAUCAGAUGAUGGAUUGAAGUGGAUUUGCGGAUGAGGGUUUGAUUGAAUCUCUCAAUCUGAUGGAAUGAUGGGGCGAUGUGAUUGACUCUCUCAAUCUGUGUACUGAGGUUAUUUGAUUUGCACAAAUAAACUAGACUCACGAAAUCAAUAGAACAACAAAGAAUCUCUCUUUGAAUCCUAAAGACCGAUAUUUUAUACAAAGAACAAUCUUUGAUAAAAAAACUGAAUAAACUUUUUAUUAACUUGGUGACUGAGGGUGUUCUUUACAAUGACUAUCUAAGAGCUUAUAUAAUGCUCUGGAAACUAAGUCUAACGUUCAUAAGAAGAAAAGAAAGGAAACAAAUCAAGCAAACUAACAAAAUCGGAAACUAGCCGUUGGAGCCUUUUAUGGGAUUUUGGCUCCAAGUGAGAAACUUGAUUCUUCUUGAACCUGGACGGUUUAAGAGGAUAAGAGAGAUUCCUUGGGAUCUUUCUGGGUGCUUGAUAGUUACUGAUGUCGUGCCUGAUCUGAAGAGAAAAGAGCUGUUGGACAUUAAUGUCGGUUUGCUCCAAAUAAGGCAGGUUUGAGUAAAUGAGGAUCCUCCUGAUCCAAUGGUUGCUGGUGCAUGGUACGAACUUGUAGAACUCUUAUGGAUCUCUGGAUAGACUUCCUGAAUGUAUAGAUUGAUCUCUUGGUCGCCAAUUUCUGGUUUGAAGCUGAUUGAACCGGCUAGCUUCCAAUUGAGGCAAGUGCAGAACUGGUUUGGCCGGUUUUGGAGAUUGAAUCAUAACUUCAUAAUUCCGUGGCCAUUUCUCCUGAUCUUGGGCUUUCUGGAAAUAUGAUAAACUUCUCUUGACUCCUAUGAUGGGAUUUUCUUCAGGCCAAUUCUUCAUUGGGCUUGAAUCAUCUUCUAAAGUCGGGUACUCGCAGAUAGAUGGGUUGAGAAACCUCUGACUUGUAAAAUUCAUAACUUCUUACUCGGUGAAUAUUUUGGCCCGAUUCCAAUUGGCCUGGACUUCUUCUUGAAUGUAGAAUCCAAAAAAAUUAGUCUCGUCAUUUAAACCCCCCUGGUUUGUAAGAUAUGGAGUUUUUAGUGAACGUAUGUCCAGGCUGGUUGAGCAGGGCUUUGGGUUGACCUCUGGUUCAGUUGUUGAUCUGAUGGCCGCAUCACUAUGACUAAUUGAAAAAUGAUAAUAAUGCUUGACAUAGACAUCUAUACCACUAAAACAUAAGUACAAUUUUGAAAAUAACCUCAAUCAUACGUGAUAUUUAUAAUAAAAAAAUACUACUCAAAUUUUAUAAUAUACAUAGAACUCGUUAUUUCCAUUAUAUUAAAUUUGACACAAAAUAACUAAAAAAAUCAUAUAUUUUCUAAAGUUGCAUAUAUAUCAGGAUUAAAUAUUAUUAUAAAUAAAUAUUAAGUAAAUUUUUAUUUAUAUAAUAUAUAUGUAUAUAUAUCAUGAUUAAUUAAAUUACUACAUCAAAUAAUAAAUUUAUCAUGUGUAAAACAGAUUAAAAGAACUGGUUAAUUAAAGAAAAAAUGUUUGAAAUACACUAAAUUGGAUACCAUUUUUAAAAAAUACACUAAAUAAAAAUAUUUAACAUUUGGAUUUAAGGUUUAUUGAUUAUUGUUUACGUUUAGUAUUUAGGAUGGAAUUGGGUUUAUAAACUUAUUUAAAUAUUUUUAAACAUUUAUAAAUGAUUUUAAAAGGUUAGUUUUUUUCUUUUUCAUAAAAAAUUUAAGAUAUUUAUGAAAAUAGUUAUCAUUUAAAAUUAAAUUUGAAAAUUGGUAUCAACUUUGAGAAAAAGUAGAAUUUCCCCUGAAUAAUUAUUUAUAUUAUAAUAAUAUUACUAAAAUAAAUUUGAAUUAAUACGAAAUAGGGUCAAUUUAUUUCAACGUUACAUCAUACAAAGAAAAUGAUCAGAAUUCGUCCAUAAACAUCCCUUAUCAUUUUUUCUUUUUGCAAACGUCCACAUAUGCCAUCCCAUAUGAAUUUCUGUUUGUGCAAACAAACCAUAUAUAAGUUUAGAAUUUACUGUGUGAAACAAUAAUACAUACAUUAAGAAGUGUAGAUGAAAGGAAUAGAAAGAUUUGUACCGUCGGAAACUAUGAGCAGGGGGUCCUCCCGGACCAUGAGGAGGGUUUGGACCACCACAUUUGAUUUUACAACAUUCAAAACAAUUACCAUUGUGAUCUUCACAAGGUACAGAACAGCUACGGAAACAACGCAUCCAAUCAGUUGCGUUGUCGGAUUCUACGGUGACUACCAUAACAGUCGUCACCAUCAUUAUCAUUACUACCAACACAUUCCAUUUUCCCAUUUCAGAUCCUAAAUAUAAAUGAAAAAUUACCUAGAAUGACUCAAAUCAUACACGUAAUUACUAGACUAACUCAUAAACUUUUGUAAUUAUUAGACUAAAGCACAGAGCAACCGAAAAUACCAAAAAACCAGUCUCUCUUUCAUUUUUCACGAGAUUGCCAUAGGAAAUUAUUAGUAGGAAAAUGUUUAUUUUUUUUAUAAAGAAAAACAAAACCUUUUGAUCGAGACUGGAGAAAGUCGUCUCCUUCGUUUGCGACAACACCAAAUCGGACACCUCUCUUUCACUUCCGCCUCCGACAACUUCUUCUCUGCCAGAGCCUCCUUCCAUUUCGUCACCUCCACCUGGAUCGCCGUCGUCUCUGUAAGACAAGAGGAACCCUGAAUCCGAUUUCACCUCUGUCUCCGCCUUUAAAUCGAAGAGACGAAACAAUUGCUCGUUUUCAACCAAGAGUGAUUUCAAGGGAUGGAGACCAUACAUGAGCGUUGUGGCCAGUUUACCUACAAACCCGUUCUUCUAAAUUGACCAGGAGAGGCUAGUCUUAUCUUUAUCAAUUUAUACAAUUAUACCUUGCAUCAAGCUCUGUACACUAUGCGGAUAUUCACUUACUCUGCAUUCAUAUGUGCCUCUUUAUGGUCGGGCAAGCGCUUGGAUUUUCAACAGAGUGGUCUCAUCAUCCUCUGUAUUCUCCUGGUUAGACGAACAAAUACACCAAAUCAUUUGCUUGUGUUUCUGAGUUUGCUCUUUCUCAAGAAUAUCUGUUGUGCAAUAAUACGUGUGAAAACAGGAGGAUUAGAGGUUCUGGAUGGUGUGGAGAAAGCAUUGGUUGGUACUUGAGUCGGGAUGGAUUACGCAUUACCUCAUUAACAUGUCAAUGCCUUAUGGAGAUUUUCCAUUGCAGACACUCCAGGGAUAAGUUCUCCUAAGAACAAUCUUAGGCCUCUCUGAGUUCAACCCAAUACUCUUUAACUUUGCUUCUUGUUCUCUGUAAAUAGACAUCUACAUGUUUGUACUCUUUAGUCUGUAUAGUGUUUAUUUAGAAGUGGAAAUACCGUUAAGGUAUUGGGUGGAAAGUGGAAGUCGGUUAUUAAAUACUUCGUCGGUUAUUAAAUACUUCGUCGGUUAUUAAAUUCUCGACAAAUUGUAAACCUGAGACAAAUUGAUAAAGAACAAAUUUCUCAACCGUUUGAUUGAGUUGUUCAUGAACAAUGAUAUUA